UACGUAGGGUGCAAGCGUUGUCCGAAAUUAUUGGGCGUAAAGAGCUCGUAGGCGGUUUGUUGCGUCGGCUGUGAAAACCUGAGGCUCAACCUCAGCCUGCAGUCGAUACGAGCAGACUAGAGUGUUGCAGGGGAGACUGGAAUUCCUGGUGUAGCGGUGAAAUGCGCAGAUAUCAGGAGGAACACCGGUGGCGAAGGCGGGUCUCUGGGCAACAACUGACGCUGAGGAGCGAAAGCGUGGGGAGCGAACAGG
rnacentral:rRNA from 1 species